GGCGGCUGGUUUGGUCUCUGCCGCGUGGGGCGGCGGCAUGGAACGGGAAGCCGGCCCUGGGGGCGCGCGCCGGGCGCUGGGCCGCCUGGUGGAGGCGGUGCUGGCAAACCGAGGCAAGGCCAACGCCGUGUUCGACAUCCUGGCCGUGCUGCAGUCUGAGGAUCGGGAGGAGAUCCAGGAAGCAGUGCGCGCAUGCAGCCGACUUUUCGGGGCCCUGCUGGCCCGCGGAGAGCUGUUUGUGGGCCAGCUGCCCUCUGAGGAGAUGGUCAUGGCAGGGUCCCGGGGGGCCACUCGCAAGUACAGGGUGUGGAUGCGACACCGGUACCACAGCUGCUGCAACUGCCUUGGGGAGCUCUUGGCUCGCUCCUCCUUUCAGGUCAAGGAGCUGGCCCUCAGCACGCUCAUGAAGUUCGUGCAGCUGGAGGGCGAGCACCCCCUGGAGAAGCCCAAGUGGGAAGGCAACUACCUGUUCCCCCACCAGCUCUUCAAGUCGGUGGUAGGAGGCCUGCUCUCUGCAGACGAGGACCACUCCCUGCUGCUCUGUCAGUUCCGGGAGUACCUGGAACACGACGACAUCCGCUACCACACGAUGCAGGCCGCCACGGACGCUGUGGCCCGGGCCACUGAUGGGCGCCCUGAGGUGCCCCUCACUUUUUGGAACAACGCCUUCACGCUGCUGUCCUCCGUGAGCCUGCCCCGCCAGGAGCGCGCCCCCUCCAGCUUCUACGUGAAGCACGCGGAGCUCUCGGACAAGUGGAAGGUCGUGCAUCUGAGGGAGCACAGGAAGGCCUUCCAGCAGAUGUGGCUCGGCUUCCUCAAGCACCAGCUGCCUCUCCGCAUCUGCAAGAGGGUGCUGGUGAUCACGCACGACUCCAUCCUGCCUCACCUGGCACAGCCCAGCCUCAUGAUCGACUUCCUCGCCCGCGCCUGUGACCUCGGUGGAGCCGUCAGCCUCCUGGCUUUGAACGGACUUUUCAUCCUGAUUCAUAAGCACAACCUGGAGUACCCUGAUUUCUACCGGAAGCUGUAUGGCCUGCUCGACCCGUCUGUCUUCCACGUCAAGUACCGGGCCCGCUUCUUCCACCUGGCCGACCUCUUCCUGUCGUCCUCGCAUCUGCCGGCCUACCUGGUGGCCGCCUUCACCAAGCGCCUGGCCCGCCUGGCCCUGACGGCGCCCCCCGAGGCCCUGCUCACGGUCCUGCCCUUCAUCUGCAACCUGCUGCGCAGACACCCAGCCUGCCGCGUCCUCGUGCACCGCCCCAGGGGCCCUGAGCUGGACGCCGACCCCUAUGACCCCCGAGAGGAGGACCCUGCCCAGAGCCGAGCCCUGGAGAGCUCCCUGUGGGAGCUGCAGGCCCUCCAGCGGCAUUACCACCCCGAGGUGUCCAAGGCCGCCAGCGCCAUUAACCAGGCGCUGUCCGAGGCCGAGGUCAGCAUUGCGCCGCUUCUGGAGCUCACCGCCUUCCAGAUCUUCGAGCGGGAGCUGGAGAAGAAGGGGCCCGAGCCAGUGCCGCUGGAGUUCAUCCCGGCCCGCGGCCUGCUGGGCCGGCGGGCCGACCUCUGUGCCCAGCACUUCACGCUGAGCUGACCCUGCACGCCCUGCUGCCCCCGACGGGUGGUCUCGUGGGAAAGCCGCUGGGGGCGCUGGUGGGCGGGGGUCUCGGGAGGUGCAGGUCCUUCACCUGUGCCCCUGGGGUGCCCUCCCGUCCACCCGCCGCCCCUCCACCCGCCCCCCUGCUGCUGGCCUCGCCGGAGGGUGCUGCACGGGGCCCUCCCUUCCCUGCGGCCUGGUGGGGAGGGGCGAGGUGGGGUAUGGGGGGCGCUGCAGGGCAGCCCCUGCUUCCGGGGCCUCAGUUACAAGCGCGCCGGGUCGUGGCUUCUGUCGGCCCCCGCGAUUCCCCACCAGACGCGCCAGGCCCUCUGCAUCGCUGUGUUUCCUGACACGGGACGGGCCUCGCUUCCGCCAGGGCAGCCGCGAGAGCCUCUCUGCUGCAGUUAGACUGUGACGUGGGAGUAUCGGGGGGGCUCUGUGCCCCGGUCAGUCUCAGUGGGGAGCGCAGGGAGGGGCACAAGCUCGCUGUGUCCGGCCAGGCCCUACUGAGGUCACCUUUGUCCCCAGAAGCGCAGUGAGUCCGGGGGUGAGCGCCUGCCCCAGCGCAGGGGUUGCAGGCGGGCCGGCCCGUCCCUCCACCCCCUGCGCGGAGUGGGCCGGCAGCCCCGUUGUGUUUGCAGGGUUAUCUUUUCGUGGUUUCUUUUCUACCAAAGGUGCCGGGUUUUCUGUCUCUGGCGGUGAUCCCGUUUCCUUUAAAAAACCCACUCGCUCUGGCACACGCCUGGCGCCGGCCCGCGCUUGGCAGGGGCUGACGGGGGCACGGGGGUGGGGCAGCCCACAGGGAGAUACCUUGCUACCCUCCGCCGCCUCCUGUCUGUGCCCCGUUCCUGGCCACAGCCCGCCCGUCCCCCCGGGGAGCGGGGUGGGAGCUCGUGGCGGGCACCCUGGGAGUCCCAGCAGGGAAGGGUUCCGCCAAUCUGGUGUCCAGGUACCCCCGCCGGCCCGGUUUCCCAGCACGCCCUGCUGGCAGCAGCGCACCACGUGGCCCCGCUGCCCUUCAGCCGUCUUCCCACGAGCAGCAGGGGAUGCUCGUUACUGACCUGGAAACCGCCUGGUCCCUGGGGCGCAGGGCUUGCCCGGAGCGGGGGGUGGGGGUGGGCAGUCUUGAGAGAGCCGGGCCGUCUGGCACCAGGAGUGUCCAGUGGGCCAGAGGCCGCCGUGGCCUUGUGUGGGGAUGCCAGGGGGCAGUGCUGGACGGCCUGAGGCCUCCCGCUUUUCUUGAAAAAUACCAUUAUGUGAAAAAAAUUACAGACUACGAAACACUUGAACAGGUUCUCGAGGUCGUGUCUGGACUCGGCGUCCUGUGCUCCCGUAGGUCUUUGCUGUGGCCCAUAGCCACUCUGGUCCCUGGGCAGCUGCACUCUGCCGUGUUUGACCUCCGGCAGGUCCCCAUUUCCUGUCCUCUGGCCCUGGUUGGCCGUGGGGGAAGAGCGGUGAGCGUGCCCUUCCCAGCGGCUGUGAGGUUGGCUGAGAGGCUGCGUGGUGGGUUGGAGGCGAGAACUGAAGGGGGGCUGGGGCACCGCUGGGGCUCUGCCUGUCCUUCAGGAGCCCGAGGGGUGGCCGGGACAGCCUCCGGGGCACAUGGGUCUGACUGCAGGGCUCCUGGCUCCGGAGGAGGUACGAGCUCAGACUUUCAAGAGCUUUGGAACCACCUGGGAUCAAAUAAGAUGUCUACGUGGGCAGGCGGAGGGAAGGGCCUCGGGCAAGUGUACAGGGGGGUGGAGGAAAUAGCGGCUCCCUGGUCUGUACCAGGAGACCGUCCUGAGCCGCUUGUGAGCGACCCACCUCUGAGCCCAGAGACGAGAAUGCAGGCGCUUAGAAAGAGUAAACGUUUAUAUGUUUAAGAAGAAAAAGAGGCACCAGUGAACCGGCUGCUGGCAGCUUCACGCCUCCGCCGGCUCCCUCGGAGGAGGAAGGGGAAGCCAGCCGCCUUUUGCUUAACUGAAGCUCUGCCCCAGUUUCUUUGUCGUUUGUAAAUUACAAAAGCAGCAUGAGCCGAACUAGGAACUCAAGUGAAAGGGUGGGCGUGUGGGGAGACGUGGAAGCCCGCUCGGUCCCCAGUCCCGUAACCCACCCUCCCCUCUGCCGCCACUUGGUCGCCCACACAGACCCUCAUGCUGCCCGCGCCGGGGGAGAGGCCAGGUACACCUGCCCAAAGCCUCCCUCCACCUGCCCAUGUAGAUGUUUUGUUUGUGGCACUGGGGACGCUGUUUCCUAGGUCCAGUUUUUACAGACUGCUUAAAAAAAGAUUUCAGACACAGAAUGAAUACCUUUUUAGCGAGAUGAAUGGGGCCGUUGGAUGAUUAAGUCAUAGUCACACACGUAAUAAGGAAUGUGUCACGAGACGCGGAGAACCCUCUCCAGCGAUAGGAAUGCUCAAGCAUUUAAUUGGCAUUUAGCAAACAAGCUGCAGAGAACUGGAUGUCAGAGGGGUAUCUCCUGAAACAUCAGUCAGGGCGUAGACCUUGGGGAAUGUGCACCCCCCCUCAGGGCUUUCCCGCUGGGCUGGGGGCACGGGGUGGGGGGCAGCAGCUGGCCCCAUGGCACCGAUCCGCCCUCCUCCGUGGGGCAUCGGCGGUUAAUGGAAGCCGCCCGGGGCCCCACCCCUGCUCCCAGCUGAUCAUGGCCCGGUGAGGUCACGGCCUCGGUGCCCAUCGGCUGGUGCUCCGCUCUGCGCUCGGGAAAGUUGCCCGGCCCCUCCAGGCCCCAGUCCUCUCACCCACAAAGUGGGCAGUUCCAGGGGCCGUGGCUGCGUAGGAGCCAAAACUUAGAGGCAUGAAGCUACUACAACAUCGAUUUCGCUCAUGAGUCUGCAGCCUGCGCAGGGCUUGCGGGGAACAGCUGGUCUCUCCUCUCCUCGGCAGGAGCUGGGGCGGCUGGAACGUCGGGGCUGAGCUCCCCUGAGGUCUGCCAGUGCAGGGGACACAGGUUCGAGCCCUGGUCCGGGAAGAUCCCACAUGCCGCAGAGCAACUAAGCCCGUGUGCCACAACUACUGAGCCUGUGCUCUAGAGCCUGCGAGCCGCAACUACU